GAUGAACGCUAGCGGCAGGCUUAAUACAUGCAAGUCGAGGGGCAGCAGCUUUGUAGCAAUACAGAAGCUGGCGACCGGCAAACGGGUGCGGAACACGUACGCAACCUUCCUUUAACUGGAAGAUAGCCCACCGAAAGGUGGAUUAAUACUCCAUAACAUAUUGAAGAGGCAUCUUUUUGAUAUUAGAGCUCCGGCGGUUAAAGAUGGGCGUGCGUCUGAUUAGGUAGUUGGCGGGGUAACGGCCCACCAGGCCUUCGAUCAGUAGCUGAUGUGAGAGCAUGAUCAGCCACACGGGCACUGAGACACGGGCCCGACUCCUACGGGAGGCAGCAGUAAGGAAUAUUGGUCAAUGGACGCAAGUCUGAACCAGCCAUGCCGCGUGGAGGAUGAAGGCCCUCUGGGUUGUAAACUUCUUUUCUUUGGGACGAAACCCCUGUUUCUACGGGGACUGACGGUACCAGAGGAAUAAGCACCGGCUAACUCCGUGCCAGCCGCCGCGGUAAAAC
rnacentral:rRNA from 1 species